UCUCCUUAUACUAGGGUUCGAGACAUGAGGCUGUCUUUUGGGGCCUUUUGCGUUGUCACAGUCCCAGACCACGGAACACAGACAGGACAUUCUCUCUUCCCCAGCCUCCUUCCUGUGCUGGCUUUGAGUCUUCCAAAUGGAAAAUUCCAGCCAUAUCAAUUGGUGAUGCACCCGUUUCUUCCUGUGGAACGACAGUCUGAUGGAAUUGCUUCUGGAGUAAAUGCCCAGCUUCUUACCACUUCAGUGUCAGCCCGAAUGUUUGGAAAGUUCUAGCACCUCAAAUCAUUUGCAUCUAUGAAAGCAGAACUCUGUUUUUUCCCUUUGGUUUAGCUUGUGAGUUCUCUGUAGGAGGAAGAUCUGAUAUGGCCGGCUCUCUUUCAACCCCAGUUCCAGCAGAGAGAGAGAGAAUGUUCUGGGUGAUGGACCCUCCCAGCAAAGGGGCUUGCUUUAUUUGCUUCUCUCCCCAACCCUCCACUCUUAGUCUUUGUCUUUUGAAUAAUCCUUCCUCAUUCCACUUUUGUGGUGGGGGAUAAUUAGUCACAACUCAGUAGUAAGCCGUAAGCAUUCAGGGGGUUGGAAGUGUGGAGACCCCGGUCUGAUUCCUGGAAUCGGUGCUCCUCGGUUCAGUGUUUUGAGACCAGGUCUUUAGCUUCUUGCUGGGCGUAUUUUUCUGCUUUGUAAUUUAACCUGUAUCUUUUUUUUUCCCCCAUGUUCCUGCCUCAUCAGGGAAUUGUAAGAUUUAGGGGGAGGUGUGGGAAAUCUUACUCUUUGCCCUAAAGUAUUCAGAGAUCAGAAUUCUGGAUACCCUGCAAAACACCUCCAACCUCCCUGCCUUUGAACCCUGUGUUAACAAUGAGAAGCUUGUUUAUUUGAAGGCUGGGUUCUCAUUGGCCCACAGGGGUAGGUUGUAAUUGUGUGUCUAAAAAAUUGCCUUUUGCAUUCCCCAAUAGCAUGACAACUGGAAUAGUGAUUUGACUU
rnacentral:sRNA from 1 species